rnacentral:rRNA from 1 species
UACGUAGGGAGCAAGCGUUGUCCGGAAUUAUUGGGCGUAAAGCGCGCGUAGGUGGCUUCGUAAGUCCGUUGUGAAAGUCAAAGGCUCAACCUUUGAAAGCCGAUGGAUACUGUGAAGCUAGAGUACGGAAGAGGCGAGUGGAAUUCCUGGUGUAGCGGUGGAAUGCGCAGAUAUCAGGAGGAACACCAAUAGCGAAGGCAGCUCGCUGGGACGUUACUGACACUGAGGCGCGAAAGCGUGGGGAGCGAACAGG